AGUGAACGCUGGCGGUAGGCCUAACACAUGCAAGUCGAACGGCAGCACAGUAAGAGCUUGCUCUUACGGGUGGCGAGUGGCGGACGGGUUAGGAAUACAUCGGAAUCUACUUUUUCGUGGGGGAUAACGUAGGGAAACUUACGCUAAUACCGCAUACGACCUACGGGUGAAAGCAGGGGAUCUUCGUACCUUGCGCGAUUGAAUGAGCCGAUGUCGGAUUAGCUAGUUGGCGGGGUAAAGGCCCACCAAGGCGACGAUCCGUAGCUGGUCUGAGAGGAUGAUCAGCCACACUGGAACUGAGACACGGUCCAGACUCCUACGGGAGGAAGCAGUGGGGAAUAUUGGACAAUGGGCGAAAGCCUGAUCCAGCCAUACCGCGUGGGUGAAGAAGGCCUUCGGGUUGUAAAGCCCUUUUGUUGGGAAAGAAAAGCAGCAGGUUAAUACCCCGCUGUUCUGACGGUACCCAAAGAAUAAGCACCGGCUAACUUCGUG
rnacentral:rRNA from 1 species